ensembl:ncRNA F56A12.11 ncRNA
AAGUUCUCAAGGCGGUGAGGGGCAUUUUCAGAAGAGAGCUUCUUUCUAAUCAUCCGCUUUCACAACAUCCGCAAUUUUUUUGUAGAAUCAACAUCCGCUGCCCUACCGCCCAUAAAUUUUGGAAAAGGAUCCCGAAAGGGAUCCA